GACGAUUUGGUUUGCAGAACAGGUACAUGACUGUAUGUGCGAAUGGAUAUGUUACUAUUUUUGCCUUCUUGUAUGAUAGCUAAAUUCCAUCAGAGCCAUCAGUCUUCCUUCAUCAUAAGCUAUCCUAUGGUUGUGACAUGACAGGAUAGAAACAUAGUAGCCCUCUUCCACCUCUUUCUGUUGGUAACCAGCAAUGUCUAAAAAGAAAACAAACCCUAAAAUUCAUGAAUGGCUUCUGAUCAGCUCCCAUCAUUGUGUUUCCUGUGUCAACAAGUACUUAACGGAGUUUUCUUCUUCAGGAGCAACAGAGGGAGAAGGACUUUGCUAAUUAGAAGGAUGACUGGAGAGUAUGAUAUUGUAUAUCUCUAAUUAUUUUUUCUUUACUUUUAGGUGGAAAUUCUAAAAGGUAUUUGGGUGUGUGAAGAAUAUUCAAAAGAAUUUUCCUUUUUAUGCUUCACCUGCCAUGACACCUUUUCUCUGGGAGCAAUGUCAAAGAAGGGUAUUUUGAAAGAAAAUUCUGUUGCUGUGAUUAAGAGAAACACUCACAACUUAUCAAAGCAGUUGUUUGUGGAAGAAGCCUAGUGCCGAAAGUGAGGUCAAGAAGAAGAUGGGAAAUAAAUUUUCUCAAAGCCACGUAAAGGACACGCUCAAAAACCUUCUCCAUAAACUUCUCUGGAUCUAAAUAUCCACAGCAGACAUUUAUUUGGUGACAGAGCAAAAUGAUGUUUUGUAGACUUACAUGAAAAUCUGAACAUUUUGCUUAUAGUUCUUCUAAGAUGAAUACUGUAGGAACACUAAAGAAUAGGUCAAGAAAAGCAAACUUAUCAGUUAAGCUAUAAAGACACUAAAAAGAGAACAGAAGAAAAUUGCUUGGUUGAAAUAUAUCUACCUUUUCAGAACUCUCGCUCUUUUGCUUAUAUUUUGAAGGAGAGCAUUAUGAGUUUCCAGGGGCCAAUUUGCCUUACAACAUUCUCUUCUCUUCCUUUGCUUGAAUAUGCUGCUCAUGCUCUGACACCAGUAAAGAAGAAAUGACUUAUUAUGUGUGCUUUCAUUCCUUCCAGAAAAUGAAUUUUAUUGGUGCCUGUGGCUUGCACAUAACACAUUUUCAACCACUUCAUUUGUUGGAACCAGAGGGUUGGAAAGCACAAAAAAAUGUCAAGAUGGAGUGGAACGUGGCUUGCAAGAGAUUGAACCAUGCCUAAAAGAUAAGAAGCUAUGGAGGAUGAUGCAGAAGUUGGCCUGCUGCAUCACUUCAAAUAAUAGCCAGGUCCUGAAUUGAAGAUCAGAUCGUAACAGUUUCCUGACUGAAACUCCUCAAUACCUCCCAAUCACUCUUAAGGUAAAAUUCCAACUCCUUUCUUUGAUUCAUGAGACCUCUGUUAGGUAGACUUCUAAAAUGUCUCUCAAUGAUCCCUGCCUCCUAGUAUUCAUGCUGUUAAGCAAUUUCCUCCCCUAGUAUGUAGGCUAGACCCAGUCAUUUGCUCUGACGAAUAGAAUAAAAUAAAGCGAUGGGAUCUGACCUCUAAGAUUAGAAUACAAAAGACUAUGACUUCCAUCUUACUAGCAGACUCUUUACUUCUUGGUUUGCUCACUUUGAUGAAGCAAGCUGCCAUGCUGGAGAGACCCACAAGACAAGGAAUGAAGGGUAGCCUUUGGCCAUCAACUGCUGAGAAGCUGAAGCCCAGCUCAACAGCCCACAAGAAACUGAAUCUUGGCAACAACCAUAUGAAUGAACUUGGAAGUGGAUCCUUCUUGAGUUGAGACUUCAGAUGACCCCAGCUCUGGCCAACACCUUGACUGCCGCCUAUGAGAGACUCUGAAGUAGAGGAUCCAGUCCAACUACAUCCAGAUUUAUGACCUACAGCAACUGGGAG
ensembl:lncRNA